CUCACAUCCCUCUUCCUCUCUAGCCAGUAAAACAAUGGUUGUUUUUCAUGGUUUCUGACUCUGAAUGGGUCCUCCCAUUCUGUCUUCACCCUCCCAGCCCCUCCUCUACAGAGAACACGUGCACUCCUGGGAGGCAUUUACCAGGAUAGGCUCUGACACCACACCACAUUGUGUGUGGGACCACAUCUCCAUCCAGCCUGCAGCUCUGCCAGGCUGCUUCUUCCUGUGUGGCAUACCUCAGAAACCCGACUUCCAAAUCACAGAGUGGGACUAGAGCAGGUGUUGGGGUCGAUUCCAUGUUAAAACAUGUUAAACCCCUAGGGACUGCCUGGGCCUACUUAGCCAUAGUGACUCCAUGUUGCCUAGGUAGACAUUUUGUUGUUUAAUAAAUGCCUCAACAGUUAUUGAUAUCAGUUCCAAGUAACGGUUGCUAAAACACACACCUAAAACAAGUCCAUUUUUUUAUAUCAGUUCUAGGUAACUAUUACUAAAACACAUACCUAAAACAAGGCCAUUUUUUUGUUUAAUAAAUGCCUCAGCAGUUACUAGUAUCGGUUCCAGGUAACUGUUACUAAAACACACAGGUAGGAGACAUCCAAACAGCCAAAGCCACAUAUGUAGAUGUCUGCGAUUGUGCCCUAUAAAAACUAGCCUGUAAGACCAAGGGGCAUCGCUCUCUUUGGAGGUGGCCCUGGCCGAUCAGUCUGACUUCUAAUGCUUGGCAUAGAAUAAAGCUUUACAUAACUCUCACUUUGUCUCAGCCUCGUUUCCCUGGCGGGUCAGUCUAACUUCUAAUGCUUAGCAUAGAAUAAAGCUUCGCGUAACUUUGUCUCAGUCUCGUUCCUUUGAUAACGGAUCCAACAUAUGGGGGCUCGUCCAGGAUCAAACAGCGAGAACUGAGCCAGCAUCAGAAUUUCUGGGAAAAGCCUCCAGAGAGAAACUCAAGAUAAAUUUGGGUCUGUUGCAGCACCUGGGUGGCUCAGUGGGUUAAAGCCUCUGCCUUCGGCUCAGGUCAUGAUCCCAGGGUCAUGGAAUCGAGCCCCGCAUCGGGCUCCCUGCUCAAGUGGGGAACCUGCUUCCCCUUCUCUCUCUGCCUGCCUCUCUGUCUAUUUGUGAUCUCUGUCAAAUAAAUAAAUAACAUCUUUAAAAAAAAA